AGUAGCUCAACUGGUAGAGCGACGGCCUCCAAAGCCGUAGGUUGAGGGUUCAAGUCCUUCCUGG
rnacentral:tRNA from 1 species